ensembl:lncRNA
ACUGUUGUUGUUUUGCCUUUAGCCACCCUUAUACAAUCUUGGACACACCCCUGCUUUGGAUCCUGGUGUGUAUCAGAAACAUGCAUUUCUUUCACUUCAGAAGAUGAAUACAGAUGCUGACGUUGUUUCGGCUUGGAUUAAUUGAUAGUUUUUUAAAAUAACCAUUUUUUUUGUUCACAGCACAGUUAAGCAGAUUGAGCCAAAAAACGUCCAGAAGAAAAUGGGGGGAGGAAGUUCCAGUCAGAGAGCAAUGGAACUGGAUAGAAGAGCGAUGGAACUGGAUAGAAGAGCAAUGGAACUGGAUAGAAGAGAGAUGGAACCGAAGACAAGAGCUCCUACGUGUUGUGGUUGCUGCUUCAUUCAAAUAGCAUCAGAGAAAAGAGAUGAAUCUACUAACAUAAUCAAUUCACAAGUUAGUACUGAAAACACAUCACAUACUGAAGGUAGGUUAAGUUUGACUUUCAAGUCAGGCAUUCUGUAACCUAUCAGACCCUCACACUCACCAGACUUCUGAUCACUGUAAUGUCUGUUUUGGGUUUUGUUUCAUGUUCAUGUUUUCAUGUCUUUUAUUUUGUUAUUGUUUGAUUUUGCUGUUUGUGUCAUGCUUCCCUUGCCCUCAUGUAUCUCUGCUUUGUGUAUGUGUCAUGUUCUCAUUGGUUAUUGUCUGGUCAUGUGAUUAUCAGUUGUGUUUGUUCUCAUUGGUUGCUUUAGUCAUGUGUCUUGUUCCCAUUGGUUUGCUCUUGUCAUGUGACCCUCAUUGUUUGUAUAAGUAGUCAUGUUUUUGUCAUUAGCGCUUGUCGUGUAUUAACGUUGUAACCUGCUAUCGGUAAGUCAAGUCAAGUCAAGUCAAGUCAAGUCAAGUCAAGUCAAGUCAAGUCAAGUCAAGUCAAGUCAAGUCAAGUCUUUGUUUACUGUUUGGAUUAUAUUUGGAUUUUGGAUUGUACCAUUGUGAAUAAAACUGCACUUGGGUUCAUCGCUACGCUUGCCUUCAGUGGACAGAAUACACGACCCUAAAAAUGAACCCAGCAGUUGUUCGUCUCCUGCGUCUUAGCCAAGGAAACCAGGCCAUUGAGGACUAUGUGGAGGACUUUUGUGGUUUGUGUCAUCUGGUGGAUUUUAAUGAUGUGGCCCUUAAGGACAUAUUUCGGGUGGGUCUUAAUGAGCCCAUUUGCUCUCAGCUUCCUGGGGGAAAAAUUCACUGGUCCCUGGAGGAAUAUAUUGACCAUGCUCUUUUCCUGGCUGGUUCAUCAUUUACUGUGGGGAUUGCUGAUGAGGAACACAGCUAUCCCACAGUACCCGCCACAUCAGAACUUUUCCACGUCCCAACCGUCAUGUCAGGAGUUGUUCACGUCACGCCAGCCAAGCCAAGGCCUACUCACACCAUGUCUGCCAAGCCACAGCCUGCUCACGUCAUGCCUGCCAAGCCAGCACCUGUUCACGUCAUGCCUGCUACGCCAGAGCCUACUCACAUCUUAAUAUGUUGUGUUAUUCUAUUAUAUAUAUAAUGUUAAUUACUCAAUAUGGUAUUAUCUUGUUUAAACUAUUAUGUAUGACUAUGAAAGUAAUCAAUAUACUGAUCAAUAUGCUGAAUUAUUCCCAAAUACUCUUUGGCUGUAUAAAGGCCCUCCCAUUGGGUAGUACUGCUAGUUUUCCAUUGAACUGCACCUGUUAACUGAAGUAACACUAUGACUUUGGGUGAGUUCCAGAAGUUGACAGAUUUGAUGAAUGUGUUCUGGGAUCACUGCCUACCAGUAGUAGGUGGCAAAAUGAAAGUUUUCUUAAAAAUGGUUGAUAAGGCCAAGUUUCACCAAUAAAAAAUGGACCAGCUGGGCAAGUAAUAAAUUGUGGAAAACCAGACAUAGCCAUUGGCAUAGCCAAUAAAAAAACGGAACUACCAAUUAUGGUAAGAAAGAGAGGUAGAAAUAUGGGUGCCCGGACAGACAAAAACUGUGUUCAAUAAAGUCUAAUUUUGGCAUCUGGAACUCCGUUUCUUGAGUUUUAUUUUAUGACUUUGAGAAGACCAUUGUUUGUUCCACAUCGCACCCUGGCACUAACAACACACCCCCGAAGCUGAUCAACCUUCAUCACCAGCAUUAAAGCACCCCAGUCAUUGCCUUGUUCGAUGCGACAGACCUCUUACAUCCUGUUGACCACAAUUGCUACGCCAGUUACCUUGUUCAAGUUUAUGUCAGUUAUCUUAAACCCUGCAGGUAUUCCAACCUGUCUUCCAAGUGUCCUCUGUCUCAACUUGUUUGUUUGUGUGCUCAACCGGCUCUAUAAGACAAAGACUGAAAUUUAUCCAAUUUUUUUUACUCUCACCAUUUAGCUCCACAUUUGUCAUUUACCUGUUUAUCAAUUGUGUUCCUGCUAAAACAUCUAAUAAACCAACCUGUUUAAGUUGACCUCAUUUCUGGUCAUUUCGGUCUGCGUCUGUACCUGACAGUAUGCAAUGUUUUUCUAAAACACUUUUUGUUAUAGCCUACUGGUUUAAUCUGGUUUCUCCAUCUGAUUAGAUAAAAAAAGUAUUUAGUUUAUCAUCAAAGUUUUGGAAAUAAAAUGUUUUGAAGGCCAACUUGUCAGCGGUUCAGACUUGUUAGGGUAGCAGAGAAUUAAGAUCAGUGUAAGGCUGAGAUACUUAUUCAAACAAGUGUUUGAUUAGAUAAUUUAUAUAUUAAUAUAGCUUUAAAAAAGUUGCUAUUUGUAGCUUCCAUGCAAUGAC